UAGGUUCAUUUUUCUUCAGUGUUGGCAGGAAUGUACAAGAAUGACAAUCAACAUAGAUAGAAGUAAGAUGCUUGCUGAAUUCUGGUGGCCAUCUGCUGCUCCACUGGCGUCCCUUGGGGGUGCUGGAAAGAAUCAGACUUUCAUUAAAGAAUCCGAGCAUUUCAAACGGCCAUGAGUACGAGGUCCUAAGAAAUUAGGCAGACAGCUUCUACAUUUGAGGAGACACAAAGAUAACCUGCUGGGCACAAGUGGCACACAUAACGUUCCAGUCUUCAUAAUUUACUUUUGAAUUAUGGUGCUCUCAGUAAUUAUCACCAACAUAUCAGUGGGCCAACUGCCACUUAAUGGCAAUCUUAAAUUUCAGUAACAGUAUGUGAAGGAUCCUUGAUUGCAAACCAUGAAAUUAAACCAUCUUUAAACAGUGUAACUUUGUGAAGUAAUCGCCUUGGUAAGCCACUUACAGUUUUACUGCAAUAAGUGUUAUUUAAUAAAAUCUGAAUUAAGAACUACUUUGUCAUUUAGGUUAAUGCUGUUGUGGUAGAUGAGAUUCACUGCAUGUCUUCAAAUAUUCAGUGAAAACCUUUCUGGAAAUAAUUUUUUGACUUUAAAGCAUAUAGGAAUAUUGUGAGGGUUUGACUAAACUUCUUUUUAUAGAGAUUUUGUACAUAUGGUAAUUUACUUGGGUAUUAUCGCAUCCAUAUCACACUCACUUUUGAAGGAGAGCACAAGCGUUUCAAGAUAAAUAAAAAUGUUACCGUGUUUCUAAA